rnacentral:sRNA from 1 species
GCGGCUCAGUUACUACAGUCCCAGGCCCAGCAAUCUGGGGCCCAGCAAACCAAGAAAGACAAGGAUAAGAAAAACUUCUUCUUUAUGUAACCAUCCUGUUGACAAGCCCUACUCUCUCCUAAUGGACAUAGAGCAUUAGAAGAGCAGGAGCUGUCUGUUCACACGUGUUGGGGAAGAGUUACCUCAUUUCCACCAUCGCCUCCUGUUCUUUUAAAGUCUGGGUCAAAUAUUGCACUGCUGUUUGUAUUUGUCAAUGUCUGCCCAUAGUGGAUACUGAAGUGACUUACCACUACCAAAAAUAGUCAUAUUCAAUAAUAUUAAUUAAAAA